CAGUUUCACAGCCGACCAACCCCUCUGUUCUCGGCCAGCUGUCUCUCCAAGUGGGUUUUUUCAGCUACCCAUGUUUGACAGGAACCAGGAGAGCACAACAGGUUCUUACGAAAAGGUGUCCAUUGGUGGCGGAUCGAGGAAGUUGAAGGGUGUGUAAUGGGUUAACGGCGGAAAGGCCUCGGUCCAAUCAUCCUGUCAUCAGAACCAAAGAGCAGGAAGAACAAGAGGACCAUAAAUCAGCGGCCAGUGUAACCGCCAGACGCGCAUCCUCAACCCGCUUGUUGGUGCGUGUUGUCUCGGUGUCCGCUUCCAACAUCCUCUCCAUCACCAAAUAAGACAAGAGUGACAAAUUCCAGACGCCAUGAAGGACCGCAUGCAAGAACUUCGACAUGGAAAAGAGACGACCGAGGAGGAGGAUGAAGUGGCCGUGGGGAUGGAGAAAGGAUUCAUGGAUGAAUUCUUCGAGCAGGUGGAGGAGAUCCGAGGUUUCAUCGAGUCUCUGGCAGAUAAAGUGGAGGAGGUGAAGAGGAAACACAGCGCCAUCCUUGCAUCACCAAACCCUGAUGAGAAAACUAAAGCUGAACUGGAGGAUCUUAUGGCAGACAUCAAGAAACUGGCCAACAAAGUGCGCUCCAAAUUAAAGAGCAUUCUGCACACUAUUGAGCAGGAAGAAAGUCAGAAUAGGUCGUCAGCGGAUUUGAGGAUACGCAAGACACAGCACUCCACCUUGUCUCGCAAGUUUGUGGAGGUGAUGUCUGAGUACAACACCACCCAGUCGGACUACAGGGAGCGCUGCAAGGGACGCAUUCAGAGACAGCUGGAGAUCACUGGAAGAAAUACGACAAAUGAGGAGCUGGAAAGUAUGUUGGAAAGUGACAACCCAGCUAUCUUCACAUCGGGAAUCAUUAUGGACAACAUCACCCAGCAGGCCAUGAACGAAAUCGAGACGCGGCACAAUGAGAUCAUCAAGCUGGAAAACAGCAUCCGAGAGCUUCACGACAUGUUCAUGGACAUGGCCAUGUUGGUGGAGAGCCAGCUGUCGAGAACACAGCAGCACUCUCCACCUAAUACAAAAAGGGCGAGCUGGUGAACAACAUUGAGCACAGUGUCUUGGGAGCACAGGACCAUGUGGAGCAAGCAAAGAACAACAUCCCCAAAUGCAAGAAGUUCAAAAAGACCAACAAGCGGAUCUGACAAUCACGACUUUCUGUGGCCCCAUGAAAGUGAUCCUGAUAGGAGGUUGUAUCGCCGUGUUUUUGACCGUCCUCGUUGUUUGUCUGGCAGUGGGACUCAGUUAAGAAAUGACGUGCUGCUCACAGAACAAUCAAGCCAUGUGACUGUCAUAAAGAGGCCCAUUUUGCUGCUCACACGCUACAAAUGCACUUAAUACAGCACUGCUACAGAGUGCAGUCGGCAGUCCUGGAAAGAAACUGCCCUUAAAAAACUGUAUCGUCAAAUUGAGACCGUUUUCUGCUGCGCAUCGGUGUGCUCAUUCACACGCAUGUCACACGCAUUACUCUUUGCGUGCUUUCCCACCAACAGAAACAACCAGUCCUCUACAAUUUGAAGUUUUAUGCCAUUUAUUCGUUACAUACACACUCCGCAAUAUCUGUAUUUUCUUCCUGUUGUCCAUGCAAGUUCACGGUUUGGACAAAACUAUUGGGACACUGCUCUAGUUCAUCCCAAAGGUACCUGAAGCGGUGGCGAUCAUGAGGUUUAAGACGUAAUAUCUCACUAAAGUGAGUACACCCCUCACAUUUCAGCCAGCAUGUCAUCAUAUCUUCUGAAGGGACAAUAUCAUAUAAAUGAAACUUGAAUAUACUACUAGAAUAAUCAGUGUACACGUUGUUUAGCAGUAUAGAUUUACAGUACUAUCUUCUGAAAGUACGUCAACACACAGCUAUUGUUGUCUAGAUCAGUGGUCCCCAACCUUUUUUGACCCACGGUCCGUUUUGUGUUCCCACAAAUCUUCCGCGGACCGGGGCGCGCUAGGGGGUGGGGGGUGGGGCUUCGUACAUUAUAGCGAUCUAAUUUAUUUUAUUUAUUAUGUGUUGUGUAAAACGAAGACAUGAACAACAUCUGAAUGCCGACCCAUCAUUAUUACAUCGCUGUUUGACGUGUGUGGUAAAAGGCAGUGUGCUAGCAUGAAUUAACUUGAGACAAAUGCGCACAUUAGCACUCAAUAAGUCAUCAAAACGUACCUUUAUGCAUUCCCACAUAGUAUCAGCAUUUGACACCAAAUAUGAGGUGAAAGAAAAAUGGUAAAAAUACAGUAGUAGUAGAAAGCACACGCACAAUGGACAUGCGUCAAGUGAGCCGGAUGUAACAGAGAGAAUCCGGCCACUUUUCAAAAUAAAACAUCAUGGAAAUUAUUUUUUCUUUCUGUGCGGCCCAGUACCAAAUGAGCCACAGCCCGGGGGUUGGGGGAUCACUGGUCUAGAUAGCUGGCACUGGGGAGCUUGGAACUGGUUGACCGGUUACAAGAAAUUGUACCUGGUUGGGCCUACUUGAUACAAUAGAAAUGCAUCCGUUAGCGAGGCGAGUCAUGCUGAGACAAGUAGGUACACCAAAGCAGAUAACUGUAAAGAAUAGUGAAUAAUAUGAUAUGAUAUAAGAGAUGAUAAGAUAUAAGAGUGCAUAUUUUAUAAAUAACUGGAGGACAUCUGGUGGGAUGCAUUGUGAUCAUCUACAAUACAGUGGAUCCCUGCAUAUUUGCGAUUCAGUACUCGCGACCCUGCAAAUUCGCAUCUUUCUGGUCAAAAAUAAAUGCCAUAUGUAUAUGAUAUAUAAUGUAGAUCUUCAUUUAAUAAUUGAUAAAUACAUUUCAGGCCGCACGGUGGUCUGGUGGUUAGCAUGUUGGCCACACACUCACAGUCUGGAGAUUGGAAAGACCUUGGUUCGAUUCUCCCUUGGGCAUGGAGUUUGCACGUUCUCCCCGUGGGUGGGUUUUCUCCUCCCACAUUCCAAAAACAUGCAUGUUAGGUUAAUUGGUGACUCUAAAUUGAAAUAUGACCGUGAGUGUGAAUGGUUGUUUGUCUAUGUGCCCUGUGAUUGGCUGGUGAGCAGUCCAGGGUGUACCCCGCCUGUUGCCCGAAGUCAGCUGGGAUAGGCUCCAGCAUACCCCCGUGACCCUAAUGAGGAGAAGCGGUAUAGAAAAUGGAUGAAUGGAUAAACACACUUCAAAUGUAUAAAAACAUUUUUAUGGGUGUAUCAAUUACUUGUAUUUUUUUGCCAUUAGUGUGUGGUCUUGGAACGUAAUCCCGUGAAUAGCAGGGAUCUACUGUAACACCCUUGCAUGAUACCGACUUGGCUCACCACAGCUCUACUCACCAUUGAUGAUUUUUCAUAGGCAAAAGCAGGUAUUAUGAAGUAUUUCUUCUAGUAGCUGGGCAGCUGGCUGUCGGCACACAUUGACCAAGCAAAUCCACCAUUGUUAUUAUUUGAGGAAAUAAAUAACAAAAAUAAACGCGCAUGCUGACGUUAGCUCAGCGCGUUGCUCCAGAUGCUGCAUUGUCAUAUUAAUCUCCACUUUCCACAGCUUUCUCUUGAAUAAAAUGUCUCCUUAUCAAGGACUAAAUACAGGAGACUCUUUGUUCGUCAUUACUGUUGUUUACUGGUGUGUCUGCGUUCAAUGCCAUGAUAAUCCCAACUGCCUCAAAAACCGAACCAAGUAGAGCUGAGCCGCUACAGCGCAUUGUAAACACCACAUAAGAGCAAUGUCCUGAUGCUUUUGUCCCUGCAGUUUACUGUGUGUGUGUUUGUGUAAUGACACGUUUCUAACAUGUUUUCUUCUGGCCCCCACCUGCUGCCCUGGAUGGACUCUUCUUCUGUCUUACUGUAUUUACACUGAUUAGAAGAAAAUCAUGAUUAUUAUAUGCUGUGUCAUUCUGGGAAUCAUCAUUGCGUCUGCCGUUGGUGGUACGCUGGCCUGAAACCUCUGCAGACAGUCACGUUAGAUGCACACUUUCUGAUUAUUUGCCAUUUUCCACAAAUGCAAAGGUAUUACUCUAUGUUGGGGCACAGGGGGGGGGGCGUGUCACUUCGUGUAACGAUCCAUCAAUGAGUUGUUUCGGCAUGAGUUUCUAUUUUGUAAUACGUGCGGUGCUGCUGAGUAUUGUCAACGAUAUGAUGUUCCCCGAAGUGAAUCCAUGUAUGAAGAAUUUCUCAUGUAACACUAUCUUUACACAUUCCAAGUAUGACAUGUGUUGAGUUGUCUGUUUUGUGUGUUGGCUGAGGCUACUGUGGGGCCAGAACACCAGCAUUAAGUUUUGGCAUUGUACAUAAAUGUAUUUUGGAGAAACGUGUAUUCACACUGAAACAAGGAUUGGCACUGAAAACGAUUCCACAGAAAAAUAAGACAUUUUUUAAGAAAUGCAUUUUGGGAGGAUAUUUCUGUGUUUUACAAUGCCCGUCCUCAGAUUUCCACUUCAUGUGUACCUGCACCCUUCUCAAAGCCUCGAAUUGUGUUCACGUGCUCCUCCACUUGACACCGAAACACUGCCAUUAAGUUGAAAGUCAAAAGGAAAUUCAAUGUGAAAACCAGAAGAGGGAACACUGGAAAUAAAAGCACUGUCGCUGAAAAUGGUGGACAUAAAAGGGAAAUCCGAAGACUGACAAUGAAAAAAGAUCAAUAAAAAAAUAUCCAAAUGAAAUGUUGUAUUUUUGUAAUGUCUGUGUACUUUUUUUUUUUUUUUUUUUUUUUUUACAAUGCCAAAACUUCUUGGUAGUGUUCUGAA